UACGUAGGGGGCAAGCGUUGUCCGGAAUCAUUGGGCGUAAAGAGCGUGUAGGCGGCCCGGUAAGUCCGCUGUGAAAGUCAAGGGCUCAACCCUUGAAUGCCGGCGGAUACUGUCGGGCUAGAGUCCGGAAGAGGCGAGUGGAAUUCCUGGUGUAGCGGUGAAAUGCGCAGAUAUCAGGAGGAACACCUACGGCGAAGGCAGCUCGCUGGGACGGUACUGACGCUGAGACGCGAAAGCGUGGGGAGCAAACAGG
rnacentral:rRNA from 1 species